CAUGGUUUGUUGCAGUUAUGUUAUCAGUAUGUGUCCUAUUCUGUGUACAGUACAUGCGUAUGUGAUCGUGUGCUGCACAGAAAGAGUCAUCCAUCUCCGGUAGUCAGCGAGGGACCUACAGUGGGUGACCGCAGGCAGCAGGGCCCUGCCGCACAUCCACGUUCCCUAUCAGCUUCAGAGAGGUCAGAACUGAGAGAAGGGCAUAUACCUUCUUGCUUGGUGCUGAAGUGAUGCACAGUGUCCCCUCUGAAAUAGUGAUGACUCGGCCUAAAGACAUGCUGGCAGGGGACAGGUCUGCAGGAGCUUUUGGCUGCUUUGUUGUAAAGAUCAAACAGCAAAGGAACAGUCCUGAGACUGAGUAACCCCAGCAUGAAAGAGAGAAGAGCUUCACCUUGCUGUGACACUGUUGAGACUCCAGUGUUAAGCAGGGAACCUGGACCUGGACCUGGAUCAGCGCUAUUCACAGUUCAGUGGUGCUGCAGAUAAUGAUAAUGAGGGCAGAUCUAAUUGCAGUAAGGCUGGUAUGCCACCCGCAGAUGUCUCACCUACGACUGACCUGCUGUCUGCAGUCAUGCUGCGCUAUGUAUCUUUUGCAUGUCAUAAAAGCUGUAGUAAUAUGGGUGUCUAUUUCCACACUUUUAGUUCUGCAGUGUGACUUGGCUGACAGUGUGUGAUUGCACUGUUGAUCAGAUCUUGUAACGGGCCGGCCUCCAGUGAGCUAGCUUGCCUGUCCUUUCUCAUAGCCUUUAAUAGUGUCUUUUGGGAGAAAAGAAGGAAGAACCAGUGGAGAAAAAUCUAUACCCAUUCAGAAGGACCAUCCUCAUGGCUUGUGCCUCAGAAGAGCCACAGGGAUCGAUGGCAUUUGUGUAAUCGUCUGGCCAAGGGUCGCUGGGACUCCUCACAGUGUAAUUUCUGCUCUCUUUUUUUUAUCUUGGGCAAAUUGAUCACCAUGUCAGAAGAUUGACUAAACAGAGUGCAAGAGGUGACAAUUUGUUUCUUCAUUGUGCUUCAUUCCUUUAUUCUGCACAGAGGGUGAGUUUUUGAGGGUAGUGCUUUUAGAGAAUGUGACUUGGAAAAUACUAUGAUUUUAACCAGACUCUACCUUCUGCAAAUUCACAUCGAUUAGAGCAAGAUUGCGGGCUUUCAGUAAAAAUAACAUGUUUUAGCCAGAACAUGCUUAACAGCAGCAUCAAACUGGUUAUGAUGGUAAAUGUUUAUAGAUCGCAUUUUGAAGAUGGAUUUAGCAAAUUGGUUUUGCUGCACUUUAACUGGUGUUUGUAUAAUUUAUUUAUUUUUGUACAUUACCAUUUAGAAGUUCAGAAAUGUAUUAAUA